GACGUAGGGCGCGAGCGUUGUCCGGAUUUAUUGGGCGUAAAGAGCUCGUAGGCGGUCUGUCGCGUCGGCUGUGAAAUCCCGAGGCUCAACCUCGGGUCUGCAGUCGAUACGGGCAAACUAGAGUAUUGCAGGGGAGACUGGAAAUUCCUGGUGUAGCGGUGAAAUGCGCAGAUAUCAGGAGGAACACCGGUGGCGAAGGCGGGUCUCUGGGCAAUAACUGACGUGAGGAGCGAAAAGCGUGGGGGAGCGAACAGG
rnacentral:rRNA from 1 species